UACGUAGGGACCAAGCGUUGUCCGGAUUUAUUGGGCGUAAAGAGCGUGUAGGCGGUUUGGUAGGUCCGCUGUGAAAACUCGAGCUCAACCUCGAGACGCCGGUGGAAACCAUCAGACUAGAGUCCGGAAGAGGAGAGUGGAAUUCCUGGUGUAGCGGUGAAAUGCGCAGAUAUCAGGAAGAACACCCGUGGCUAAGGCGGCUCUCUAGUACGGUACUGACGCUGAGACGCGAAAGCGUGGGGAGCGAACAGG
rnacentral:rRNA from 1 species